rnacentral:rRNA from 1 species
GAGUUUGAUCAUGGCUCAGAAUCAACGCUGGCGGCGUGCCUAACACAUGCAAGUCGCACGAGAAAGGGUCUUCGGAUCUGAGUAAAGUGGCGCACGGGUGAGUAACACGUGAAUGAUCUACCUUCGAGUGGGGAAUAACUGAGAGAAAUCUUAGCUAAUACCGCAUAAUACCUACGGGUCAAAGCCGCAAGGCGCUUGAAGAGGAGUUCGCGGCCGAUUAGCUAGUUGGCGGGGUAAUGGCCCACCAAGGCGAUGAUCGGUAUCCGGCCUGAGAGGGCGCACGGACACACUGGAACUGAAACACGGUCCAGACUCCUACGGGAGGCAGCAGUGGGGAAUUUUGCGCAAUGGGGGAAACCCUGACGCAGCAACGCCGCGUGGAGGAUGAAGUAUCUUGGUACGUAAACUCCUUUCGAUGGGGAAGAUAAUGACGGUACCCAUAGAAGAAGCCCCGGCUAACUUCGUACCAGCAGCCGCGGUAAUACG